UGCAAGUCGAGCGGGGUAGCAAUACCCAGCGGCAGACGGGUGAGUAACACGUAGUCAACCUUCCCGACAGUGGGGGAUAACUAGCCGAAAGGUUAGCUAAUACCGCAUACGAUCUAUGAGUGGCAUCCCUUAUAGAUGAAAGGAGCAAUCCGCUUUCGGACGGGACUGCGUCCCAUUAGCUAGAUGGUGGAGUAAUGGCCUACCAUGGCGACGAUGGGUAGCUGGUUUGAGAGAGCGACCAGCCACACUGGGACUGAGAAACGGCCCAGACUCCUACGGGAGGCAGCAGUGAGGAAUUUUCCGCAAUGGGCGAAAGCCUGACGGAGCGACGCCGCGUGUGGGAAGAAGGCCUUCGGGUCGUAAACCACUGUCGAAGGGGACGAUAAUGACGGUACCCUUGGAGGAAGCCCCGGCUAACUACGUGCCAGCAGCCGCGGUAAGACGUAGGGGGCAAGCGUUGUCCGGAAUUAUUGGGCGUAAAGCGCUCGUAGGCGGGACUGGAAGUCCGUGUUGAAAGACCUCGGCUCAACUGAGGGACCGGCGCGGAUACUCUAG
rnacentral:rRNA from 1 species